AAUUAUGGGUUAUUUGGGUACUGUAAACACACUGGUGGGUUGUUCAUGCUGGGUCAAAGGGGUUAUUAGGGCUUCAAUUGCAGUUGAACACCCGCCUGGGUUAUUUUUAACCCAGAGGUUGCUUUAUUCAUUUUCCCACUUCUGAAUCAUUCUGGAAUCAUCUUUUUCAAAACACAAGGUAUGUAACCUAUAUUUUACCUAUAUUUAUAUAACUAUACAAUUCUGUAACCUAUAUUUUUUUAAUGAGUUGUGAUAACAGUUCAAUAGGGAUCUUUAGGCAUUUAACAGACUGUGCAAAGUAUAACAUUAGCAGUUAACGUCGGCUACAAAUGUUUUACAUUUCUGUCAAUGAGUGAAAGAGCCUUGAAUUUACGUUGUGAUGCUAUGAAUUAUUAUUUUACAAAGACGUGUGUUCUACUAGUAGCUAUAAAUGGGUCUGAACUAUAGCUUUGGAUUUGUGUGCAAAAGUAUUAGAUGUACAAUAAGGCAGUAUAAAUCAGAUGGCUUUUACGUCACAACUCUCUUUCCCAGCAUGCAGCUCGGGCGCGGGCUUUCACACACACGGACAGACAGACGACAAAGAAGCUCAUUGAUGUAGUAGAGGGUUUCACCAUGGACACGUUUGUCACAGAGACGUUGACUGCAUGGCAGCUUGAGAACUUGAUUGACACAUUUAAAGGCCAUCCACAGACACAAAGAAAGCCCUUGCCGUGGCAUUGGUGUA